rnacentral:lncRNA from 1 species
ACAAGCCCAACUUUGGUUGGCCAACCCAUGUACAUCUAAAGGUAGGUUCAUAAUCAAUUGUUUCUCUAAAUAAUUUCUAGUAAUUUUAAUUUUGCCCCAGUCCCUAAUCAGUAGGCUUUGGCCUCCACUGAAAAGAUCUGGUUAGGUCCAACCAUUAACAUGACCAUACUUGGCCCAUCUAGCCAAUGAAUGAUUAGGCCCAACUUUGAUUGGCUAACCU